ACCGCGAUACUGAGAGCUUCUCGACCGGGGUCCGCGCCGGCUCUUUUUUAACGGUUGCGAGACCUCAACGGAUUUCGGAGAAGCAAGUGACUCCGACUGGCAAAACUUGACUCCGACCCAGUGAGCCCGAGGAAAUCCAGCUCCACUACCUCCUCCUCCACCGCUACCACUGCCACCAGAUGUUGCCCCCAUUUCUUGGUCCUCAACCGGAAAGAACUGCCGGGUCACAGGUGGGUCACUCUCCAUGGAGUCAUCAUGGGCGACAGAGAACCCGAAUAUCUUGCUAGUACGCUUCUUGAUUCUACCCCUCUCACCACUACCAUCUUCUUCGGAUCCAUCCUCGAUUACUACAGCAGAAGAGCUGGAAUUGGAAACAGAUCCGACCCGUUUUCCCUUUUCAUCAUCACCGUCUAAAGAGGUUUUCUGUGAAGAGCAGCCCUCGGAUUCGUCACCCCUUCUCUGAUCAGGGGAGUCAUUCAAGUCCCACAUUUUUUUUAAUCCUCAGCAGAAUGAAAGACGAAAAUUUUGACGAGCUGAAUAAGAAUUAAUGCAAAAGAUUCCUGAGAAGCCUCUUAACAUGGAAGUCCAGAAUUAAGGAUGGUGGCCGAGGCAAGCUAAAGAAAGUUUCUUUCUUUCUUCAGUCCUUGUGAAUAAAACAUACAACGAUGGUCGUACAAAGAGACACGAGGUUUUGGACUUUAAGUAUUCAAAGGAGAGCUAAAACCUACGACUCCGAGAAAGAGAGAGAGAGAAGAGAGAGAGAAAGAAGGAAGGCACAAGGAGAGAAGGAAAGAAUGAGAAAGAAAGAUAAAUGUCACAAAAUCCCUGAGUUAGGGUUCUGUUUUAGAGAAUAAGAAGAAAGGUGAUGAGAGAAUAGAAGAAAUAGGG
rnacentral:misc_RNA from 1 species